GCCGCGUUAGCUCAGCCUGGUAGAGCGUUCGACUGUUAAUCGAUUGGUCAUCAGUUCAAAUCUGAUACACGGCGCCU
rnacentral:tRNA from 1 species